rnacentral:sRNA from 1 species
GAAAUUAUUCAAUUGUCACAUAGCGAGAAAACCCUAGAACAAUCAAUACUUUCACAUACUCUUUUUUUUUCCUCAACUUUUUUUUUUGUCGGGUUUUUCCUCAACUUUGACAUACUCAAAAUAAACAAGGGAAUGUUCCACUAUAAGACACUUUCAACGUAAGUUUAGACAAUAUAGACACUUUCUAAGUUAGAGGCACUUUUCUUUCUUUUUGAAGGAAAACUUGACUUUUAUACCCCUUAACUAAAAAAUCGAAAACAAUAACUAAAUAUAUAUCUUAACCAAACAAUUAAAAAAACAAAAGAAUUUAGAUACGUAGUUAUUAAUAUAGACCAUUAGAUUGAAAAGUAAAAAUUAAGAUCUAUGGCUGAGAUUAAAGACAAUAAAUGGAUUAAUUUUUUGAUGUUAUAAAUCUGAUUAGAAAAAGGUAUCUCUCUUCGUCUCUAGAACUAAAUCUCUCUCUUUAAAAAAACAAUCGUUUCUCCCUUUCUCCUUCCUGAAGAUCGAUUUUUCAUAAAUCCAUAGUAGUUUAAAAAAGAAGCAGAGAGAUGUUGAAAAUCGUUUCUCAUGGAAUCAAUCGAUUAUUCUCUAUGAAGUUCUUUAAUCCACACAACUUUCCUCAGGAACAUGAUAAUAGUAGUAAAUGGAGGUUUUUCCUAUGGUUACUCUAGACGAAGGAGGAUCUCCUUGUGUUGGACAGGUUUGUGAUUUCUUUCCAGGGAUAAAAAAAAUUUGAUUGUUUGUUUAUGAUGAACGAUUUUUUGGCUACGGAAGAGUGUCAUGGAGUUCUGGUGAAUUUUUUGGCUAUGUUUGGUGAUUUCAUUUUUAAUCAAGUUGGGAAUCAAUAGGAAACAACUAAGCAUACAACAUAGAUUAGAAGAGAUAUCAAGAUGGAUCUGAUUUAAGUAAGAUUUGGCGACUAAUUCUAGAUGAUUAGGGUUAUUUGUGAUUUAUUACAAGGAAUUUGUGUUCUCAUUGAUUUGGCGAGUAAUUCUGUAUGACUAGGGUUAUUUGUGUUUUCUUAAAAAGAAUUUGUGUUCUUGUUGAAAUCUUGUUCAUUGGAAUUAUUUGUGUUUGGUAAAUCUUCAUUGGUGGCUAAGGAUGUGUUUGUAGCUCUUACGGCGUUUGUUAUUGGUGAUGUCCAUUAUGAAUGGCAAAUUAUGGAUGGCACAUUAUGGAUGAUGAAUCAUGGAUGGCAUAUUAUGGAUGACGCAUCAUGGAUUGUACAUUAUGGAUUGAUAUGGUGAGAUUUGUAAAUCUUUUGGUCUUACAUGUUAAGAGUAAAAGAUGAAGAAUUGGAGAAGCAUGUCUAACAUCCUAAAAACAAGCUAUAUCCGGUUGAUUUGCUACGAUUUUGUUUUUGUGAAACGGUGGCUGUAAAGCGGUGAAAAACUUUGCUGUUCUCCUCUAGUAUAAACAUUGACCUUUAUGAUGGUUCUACGACUUAGAUCGAGUUGGUCUCCAAUGUUAAUGUUCAUCGUACUAUUAAAGGCCACAAAAUGUUGAUCAUCGUGAGAUUAUACCGUGUAUCACUUUCUUCUAUAAUUCCAGAAAUUCUUAUACAAACACAUAUUUAAUGUCCACGCGCUAAUGACCAUAUGGUAAUAUUCUCGUGGCAUCAAUAUAUUGUCUUAAAGGUAGAGAUCUCUGCAAAUUGAAAGAAAAAUCAACAAAUAAUUUAUCCAGUAUAGAUUGUCCAUUUAAACUUGUCCAAACGGUUCACUUUUAUAUUUGCCCUUAAAGUAAUGAAAAGAAAUUGUACCAAUUUGCCCUUAAAGUAAUGCAGACGCAAAUAACUUAUAAAUGAAGCUCUCCUUUUUUAGUCAUGGCCGUUCACUCCAGAUGAGAUCGUGUCUGAGAAACUAUCAUUUUUUAUCUUCUCUGUCUUCCAUGUUUUUUUUUUUUCAUCAUUUUCAUUUCCUUUUUCAAAAUCAUCAAUCAUGGUGGUUCUCUAUAAUUCUUACAAAUCAUAGAAAUUCUGAGAUUAUCUCAAAAUUCUCUAUCAUAACUUAAAAACGAAGGAUAUAUUAAGAAUCAACAACAGAACAUUGCUGCUACAAUUGAUCUUCUUACACGCUUUAUAUACUUAAACUUGAGUACUUGGACACUCAUCAAUGGACAACUAUGCUUCAGAUGUGAGUUACUAGAUGACCACUUGGACUAGAGUGCUUGGACACUUAUCAAUGGACAACUAUGCCUCAAAUGUGAGUUAUUAGAUGACCAUUUGGACUUGAAUGCUUGGACACUCAUCAAUGGACAACUAUGCCUCAGAUGAAGUUACAUCGACAAUGGCCUUUUUGCUGCUACUCGCGUUCUCAACAUCACGAACCGUUUCAAGCCCAGAUUGCUUAGAAGGUAACUGAUCAUGGUUAACAUCCUCACUUUUCAUUGUAAUCGAUGACAGAGAUUCCUUAAUCAAGGAGAGAAAUAAAUGGAACCAAAUCAAAUAAUUGUUGAGAGACAGGGAAGAUGAUGAUAAAUCAUAUGAAAUUGGGCUUUUAGUUUUGAUUUGGAAUAUUGAGAUUCCCGUAAAAAAUUGGUUUUGAUUUUGGAAAGAGAGAGAAAUAAAGACGAUGGAGAAAAGAGUUGAGAGAGAAAAUGAGGAGAAAGCGUUGUGGUUCAGAGGGCAAUUUGGGAAUUUUGAUUUGGUAAAGUGCCUUCUCCUUUCAAAGUGCCUAAACGGGUAAAUAGUUUUCUAAAAGUGUCUUAUAAUGUAAUAAUCUCAAUAAACAAUUCAAAGCUGUAUACCAUUCAAGCCCAUUAUUCAAAAUUUUGUUUGACUAAUACUAUUCAAUCGGGUCUAUGGGCCUCAGAAAAUAAUAAAUGGGCCUUAAAUACUUGGAAACAAUGGAUAGAUCGAUCUCAACUUUAAAAUGCGUCCAAAAAUAU